GGGUUGUGAGGUUAAGCGACUAAGCGUACACGGUGGAUGCCCUGGCAGUCAGAGGCGAUGAAGGACGUGCUAAUCUGCGAAAAGCGCCGGCGAGGUGAUAUGAACCUUUGACCCGGCGAUGUCCGAAUGGGGAAACCCAGUGUGAUUCGUCACACUAUCGUUAACUGAAUACAUAGGUUAACGAGGCGAACCGGGGGAACUGAAACAUCUAAGUACCCCGAGGAAAAGAAAUCAACCGAGAUUCCCCCAGUAGCGGCGAGCGAACGGGGAGCAGCCCAGAGUCUGAAUCAGCUUGUGUGUUAGUGGAACGGUCUGGAAAGUCCGACGGUACAGGGUGAUAGUCCCGUACACGAAAAUGCACAGGCUGUGAACUCGAAGAGUAGGGCGGGACACGUGGUAUCCUGUCUGAAUAUGGGGGGACCAUCCUCCAAGGCUAAAUACUCCUGACUGACCGAUAGUGAACCAGUACCGUGAGGGAAAGGCGAAAAGAACCCCGGCGAGGGGAGUGAAAAAGAACCUGAAACCGUGUACGUACAAGCAGUGGGAGCACCUUCGUGGUGUGACUGCGUACCUUUUGUAUAAUGGGUCAGCGACUUAUAUUCUGUAGCAAGGUUAACCGUAUAGGGGAGCCGAAGGGAAACCGAGUCUUAACUGGGCGUUAAGUUGCAGGGUAUAGACCCGAAACCCGGUGAUCUAGCCAUGGGCAGGUUGAAGGUUGGGUAACACUAACUGGAGGACCGAACCGACUAAUGUUGAAAAAUUAGCGGAUGACUUGUGGCUGGGGGUGAAAGGCCAAUCAAACCGGGAGAUAGCUGGUUCUCCCCGAAAGCUAUUUAGGUAGCGCCUCGUGAACUCAUCUUCGGGGGUAGAGCACUGUUUCGGCUAGGGGGCCAUCCCGGCUUACCAACCCGAUGCAAACUACGAAUACCGAAGAAUGUUAUCACGGGAGACACACGGCGGGUGCUAACGUCCGUCGUGAAGAGGGAAACAACCCAGACCGCCAGCUAAGGUCCCAAAGUCAUGGUUAAGUGGGAAACGAUGUGGGAAGGCACAGACAGCCAGGAUGUUGGCUUAGAAGCAGCCAUCAUUUAAAGAAAGCGUAAUAGCUCACUGGUCGAGUCGGCCUGCGCGGAAGAUGUAACGGGGCUAAACCAUGCACCGAAGCUGCGGCAGCGACACUAUGUGUUGUUGGGUAGGGGAGCGUUCUGUAAGCCGUUGAAGGUGUCCUGUGAGGGAUGCUGGAGGUAUCAGAAGUGCGAAUGCUGACAUAAGUAACGAUAAAGCGGGUGAAAAGCCCGCUCGCCGGAAGACCAAGGGUUCCUGUCCAACGUUAAUCGGGGCAGGGUGAGUCGACCCCUAAGGCGAGGCCGAAAGGCGUAGUCGAUGGGAAACAGGUUAAUAUUCCUGUACUUGGUGUUACUGCGAAGGGGGGACGGAGAAGGCUAUGUUAGCCGGGCGACGGUUGUCCCGGUUUAAGCAUGUAGGCGGAGGUUCCAGGUAAAUCCGGUACCUUAUUAACGCUGAGGUGUGAUGACGAGGCACUACGGUGCUGAAGUAACAAAUGCCCUGCUUCCAGGAAAAGCCUCUAAGCAUCAGGUAACACGAAAUCGUACCCCAAACCGACACAGGUGGUCAGGUAGAGAAUACCAAGGCGCUUGAGAGAACUCGGGUGAAGGAACUAGGCAAAAUGGUGCCGUAACUUCGGGAGAAGGCACGCUGAUAUGUAGGUGAAGCCCCUGCGGGUGGAGCUGAAAUCAGUCGAAGAUACCAGCUGGCUGCAACUGUUUAUUAAAAACACAGCACUGUGCAAACACGAAAGUGGACGUAUACGGUGUGACGCCUGCCCGGUGCCGGAAGGUUAAUUGAUGGGGUUAGCGGUAACGCGAAGCUCUUGAUCGAAGCCCCGGUAAACGGCGGCCGUAACUAUAACGGUCCUAAGGUAGCGAAAUUCCUUGUCGGGUAAGUUCCGACCUGCACGAAUGGCGUAAUGAUGGCCAGGCUGUCUCCACCCGAGACUCAGUGAAAUUGAACUCGCUGUGAAGAUGCAGUGUACCCGCGGCAAGACGGAAAGACCCCGUGAACCUUUACUAUAGCUUGACACUGAACACUGGUCCUUGAUGUGUAGGAUAGGUGGGAGGCUUUGAAGCGUGGACGCCAGUCUGCGUGGAGCCGACCUUGAAAUACCACCCUUUAAUGGCUGGUGUUCUAACGUAGACCCGUAAUCCGGGUUGCGGACAGUGUCUGGUGGGUAGUUUGACUGGGGCGGUCUCCUCCCAAAGAGUAACGGAGGAGCACGAAGGUUAGCUAAUCCUGGUCGGACAUCAGGAGGUUAGUGCAAUGGCAUAAGCUAGCUUGACUGCGAGAGUGACGGCUCGAGCAGGUGCGAAAGCAGGUCAUAGUGAUCCGGUGGUUCUGAAUGGAAGGGCCAUCGCUCAACGGAUAAAAGGUACUCCGGGGAUAACAGGCUGAUACCGCCCAAGAGUUCAUAUCGACGGCGGUGUUUGGCACCUCGAUGUCGGCUCAUCACAUCCUGGGGCUGAAGUAGGUCCCAAGGGUAUGGCUGUUCGCCAUUUAAAGUGGUACGCGAGCUGGGUUUAGAACGUCGUGAGACAGUUCGGUCCCUAUCUGCCGUGGGCGCUGGAGAAUUGAGGGGGGCUGCUCCUAGUACGAGAGGACCGGAGUGGACGCAUCACUGGUGUUCGGGUUGUCAUGCCAAUGGCAUUGCCCGGUAGCUAAAUGCGGAAGAGAUAAGUGCUGAAAGCAUCUAAGCACGAAACUUGCCCCGAGAUGAGUUCUCCCUGACCCUUUAAGGGUCCUGAAGGAACGUUGAAGACUACGACGUUGAUAGGUCGGGUGUGUAAGCGCAGCGAUGCGUUGAGCUAACCGAUACUAAUGAACCGUGAGGCUUAACCUUACAACGCCGAAGCUGUU
rnacentral:rRNA from 1 species